AUUAUAGUCCAAGCACAACGCAAUUACACAAAACAAAAACAAAAAUGAAAAAUAUUUUCGGGAUUUUUGAAUAAUUUAAAACAAAAAUAGAAAAUAUUUUUGUAGUUUUUUUGAAUAUUUUUUGAAAAAAGGCAAAAAAAAAACACAUUAACCAUAAAACAAGAAAAAUAAAACACAUAACAUUGUGUGCACUCCCCCUACACUUAGACUAAAAAUUGUCCCCAAUGUGUCCCCCUCCAAAAAAAGAUAGGAGAUUACUAGACUUCCCUCAAAUGGAGCAUCAAACUAGCUCGGGGGUCUACCUUCUUGUUGAAGCUCGCAAUAUUGUGUAUUCUUUUAGGGUAACUCGCUGCCCAUAAGACAAACAAACAAAAACAAAAACAACCAAC
rnacentral:lncRNA from 1 species